GCGGGUCUGCUACGGCUAAGGGCUGGCGUCCCCGGGUCUUCUCGGGGCCUGGCGGGGUUCAUGAGGUCCGUCCGAAUCCAGAGACGUUCCCCGCACCGGGCCGCGCGGUCCCGGCUCUCCAAGCUGGGCGCCCCCCAGCCCAUCCGCCUCGCGGGAACCGGCCCCCGCAGGCCCGGGGACCCGCGCAGCGUCCACUAUCCGCUCGCGCGCGAUGACCGCCAGAUGGCGCCAAAGGGAGCCGCUUCGGGCCUCGGAGACCGAAAACAGUUGUUCCUGGGCUGACCGUGUUGGGUCGGUAUGUUAACAGAAUUUCCUGAUACACCAGACUCUAGGGAGAAAACUGGAUCAGAGAGAAAUAAAUGUCAGGGAAAGCAAAUUUUAAUAUAUGACAAG